UAUAUAGCGGUCCUUCGAAAGAUAAAAUGAAUCAUUGAUUCUUUAAAACAAAACUAAUCGAAUUGAAUAGUGUUACAUUAUCAAGUUGUUUCUUGAUAAAUUGGUCAUAAGUCUUUUGUUUAUCAUUUCAAAACAAUACCGAUUAUGGCAGAUAUUAAUCAAGAGCACAGCAGAUUUAGAAUACCUGGAGAACCAUGGUGGAAAACGAUUCUUUUUAAUAUAAUUCUACGUUUCCUGUGGAUAAAUUGUAGAAAAGAUGGAAAAGUGAAGUACCAUGCACGAGAAGAGUCGAGUAAUAGAAGAUAAAAUGUAAGAUGAACAGCAACGCUGGUGGUCCUUCAACGCAUCAAACAUGCAUAUAUAUACGUUGACAAUAAAAAAGGAUCUACUGACGGAUUUUACGUAUUGCAACUAAAGAACUUUAGACGAAAUCAACCAAAACAGUUCAAUUUGAAUAGAAACAUUUACAAAAUAAAACAAAUGAGAUCUGAAGACUAUAUGGUUUCCAUAUGUAAAUAUAAAAGCCACAGAACUGCCUAUUUGAUUAAAAUGUAUAUAAUAAAAGGUACAAGUGAUGUCAUUUAUUUAGAAAUAUACAGGAAUACGCGUAACAUUUAACAGCACAAACUGUACAAUGUUCAACAUGAUAGAAAUAACUCAUUUAUAAACAGAUUCAUCAGAAGUGACUCAACCCAGUUCUACCGAAACAUUCAUGAAUUAGAUCUGUUUCACAAUGUAAUUUUUGAAAUGUUCCACAUUUGUUCACAUUUGGAUUGUAUACACUACAUGAACUGGAAUGAACACAAUGAAUUAAAUUCGUCCGUGUCAGUUAAUAUUAACAUCCCUUUUUAUAGCCACAAGCUACGUGGGUACAAAAUUCGUUCUUUCAUUACCCAAACAGAAUUUCACGGUUAAAGAUACAAAAAAUAUGUCUAAUGCAGUUGUUGAUAAUCUACUAACUAGGCUUUAGGACAAUAUCGUUAAUAAGGAUAAAUCAAUAACGGAGAUACACAAAAGCUUGGAUUGUAAAUAUAUCUACGGACUAUACAUGGUAUGACGGUUAUAUUACGACGUUACGAAUGCGGAAGGUCCAGAGCAAAUAUACACUGGUUUAUGUACGUUCCAUACGGCCAACACAUACGUGUGUGGAAGAAAAUGGGGACUAGAGCUGCAUUUUUUCUCAAAGCAGACUACCAAAGAACAAAAAUAAAGACACACUCGUAGAUAUGUUUAACAAAGAUAUGCUAUUGCCUAUGGGGCUAUUAUUAGAUACACGCAAAUCGAGUGGAUAUCAAGUGUCUAGCGUCGUAAAGAUAUUGGCAAUCCUCCAAGUCAUGAACAGUUUAAUUUACGAUCAACAGUCCUGACAAUAAUCAUGUGUAUGAUAAACCCAGACUGGUUCAUUGCUCUCCAUACUUUCGGGGGUGCCAUUCUCAACAAUGAAUGGUGAUAUGUACAUUCUUUCAAAACGUCUUGGUUUUUGAUAAGGAUGAACACAAUACUGAAUAACACAGUGUUAUUUAAAGUGGAUAUACAAACUUAUCUGAGAAGAGGUUGGUGAACAAAUAUACAAUUUGACCAAACCAACAACGAGACAGGAUAGAACUCUCACAUAAGCGAAGUCUGCCAAGAUACGAUCACCAAAUGGAAAACCAGCAUUAAACAUAAUAUGAUAUUGCUCGCGGUUUAAAUAAGUUCUGAAAAUAAAAACAUUCCAACUGCAAAGAAACCAAGUAUCUAGGAGUCUUUGAAUAUAUUUAACCCAAAUAAAAUACAUACGUGCAGUUCAACAGUUUACACAGUUCAAUAGCUCAUUUCUCAAUACUCGUUGGCGAAACCCCCGUGGAAACACGGAAACAAAUGAAGUAACUAAUUGUUCAAGUCACCAAUGUAGCUGUACAGCGGGUUUUGAACCACGGCGAAACAAACAUCGACGAACUUGUAAACAAUAAGCCCAUAUUAACCACCUUUAUUUACAUGCUCUUGCAUUUAACUAAAUAUAAUUGUAUACAUUGGUUAAUCAUGUGUUUUACCAUACAGUCCUUUUGCGUGAAGCAUUAAAAACAUUUCUUUUUUUAUUUCUAUCUACAUAAUGUUAAACCAUGAAUAUUGUCUUUUAGAAUUUUGCUAAUGAUACCACUUAAAUAAAUAAAAUAACAACAAUUUAUUUAUUUAACAAAACAAUCAGACAACUUUAAUUGAUGUACAUUUAACAUUGACAUAUCAGUUCCGGUAUUGUGAGUAUGGUAUCUGUUGUCAUUAUACCUCAUAAUAAAUUCAAGGUGUAAGAGUGUUUAUUGAGUCUAUAAACAUGUUUACUGUAGUCUAAAUAAGACCAUAUUGCUAGUGAUCGUGUAAGGAAAUGGGAACCCAACGUCUUUGUUAUACUCUGAUGUAGUCAGACAUCAAAUACGGGCAAGGUCGUUCGACAAAAAUGUUCCUUGUUGCUGAAAAAAAAUAGGACAUUUACUGCAAUAAUUGGUAACAUGUUAACCACCAGUUUAUGCUCUUAACUUGUGCGUAUAAACAAAUUCCGACUAAUGAUCUUGUCCCGAGUUUGCAUUGUUGAAAUGUGUUAUGCUUGUGUUUUCAUUUGUAUACUAAAAUUAAGGACGCAAUAUUGUUUCUGACUUCAUUGUAAGCGUAAUUGAUAUGUUCUAACACAGAACAUUUUACUUGUAAUCGGAUAAAGCAAUGUGCUCCCAAAGUUCAUUUGCCACAAUCUAAGUAACACCUUGACUUUGGCAAGAUUCGACAGGAACUUUUGUUAUCUUAUUGCUGACGUAAGAAAGAUCACAUGCCGGCAACCAUUACAACGGUCCUUGGUAUUUCUUUAAAGCACAAUGUCAAGGCUAUGCUAUAUAAAGCAACCAAUAAUUUGCUCUUGCUAAGGAGAUUUUGCUAAAAGCAACCCUUUAUCUGUUAUACCUAAAAAUUCAAGUUUUGUAACAAAAUGGGAGAGCUAAAUGAAGAGCAUGGGUAUUUUCGAAGCGAACACGAAUCCUGGCUACGGACCAUAUUAGCUAAUAUUUUUCUUUUGCGUUUUUUGUGGAGAGUUAUUUGUGGUAAACCAAGGGCAAAUAAUUAUUUACCAACGCACGACCCAAGCGGAAGGAGAAUUUGAACUGAAUGUAUAAGAGAUAAUGCGAGCUACGAACAAGAUGCCUUUUAUUUCUACAAUAUCUCAUACGAAAUGAACAACUUAAAAAAACCUACUGUAAGAUAGCAUUUUGUGUCUUGUGAUAGUUAUACUAUAAAAUAACUGUGAGUAUGUUUUAUUACUUAACAAGGACUUAAGUAUCCCAACUGUUUAAAGCGGCGUGGUGAACGUAUAUUAUUAACACAUUAAAAAAUUAUGGGGCUUUAUUAAACGUAAUUUGAAGUAUAGAAUAGUUCAACAACCUACACAAUAACAUACGCACAGAGAACAAGAUGAGCAAAUUCAACAGAGAAGCAGUCCAUAAUCGCAAAUCAUUAAAUUUUGCAGAAUUUCUGUGCGGAAUAUUUGUGUAUGGAUUUGUUUUAAACGGUUUAGAUGACAGCCUCGACACAAAAGAAACAACACUGAACGGGGUAGGCACCGUUUACCGAGAAGUUUACCAAAGUUACAGAAGAUAAGAAAACACCAAUGAUUUGUCGAUAUGGUUCGAAAUAACAACAACUUUGAUAUGUAUACAGGUGUCAAACAGAAAGCCUCCCUUAACACAAAAGGAACAUGUACAUUCCAAAAACCACUGUGGAUAUUUAAAGUAUACAUAUAAUUAAGAAAGACUUAAUUGUUCUUAAGCUUGAAACACAAUCUUGUUAACAUAGAUUCGAUAAAUGAUCCUUAAAAUUUUCAGAAGAUAUGUUUCUUUUCGAGCUGUUCUUCAAUGUUUCUUUUUUUGUGAUUUUAUGUUCUCCGUCUUUGGCGUUUACCCAGUGCCAUUAAACCGGGUUUAUGUAAACUUUUUGCUACUGAGCUUGUUUCUGUAGUUUUUCGCAUAAAUAAUAAUAACAUUUAAAAUACGUGUAUUUCUCAUAUUCUUUAUCGCAAGUACUUUGGUAUACGUUACAAUAUUUAAUGGAUGAAGCCCCUUAUGUUAAAAAUUGUGAAAGUUUAUAAAGAUUAUACGAGUAUUCAUCAGUCUUAUAUAUAAGUCUAUGUAGACCUUAUUAACAACAUGAUUUCAAUUUGUAUCUUAUUUCUUUAAAUGAAAUUCUUAUAACAACUUCCAAUUCAAAACAAUAAAAACAAUCUUACAGUUGGCUUGUUUGUUUAUCUUAAUGUACAAAGUUCUUUGCUGUAAGUUAACAGUGUGCGGAUAUUGAUUACAGCGCGUCGACAGCAAAUCGCGUACCAACUUAAUACUCGUAUACCUUCGAGUUGUACAGAUCUUGAAGUGGAUAGGUUUUAUUUAAAUCUUUGUAACUACCACAAUCAGUAAGGUUUGAAUAACUGAUACAUGCAUAAUUCGUAUUAAUAGAUAUUGUUAUUUCCGUGCAGUUUAUGUAGGUUUUAAUGGAAUGUUUCGUAUCUGAGCGGCCAAUUCACCCACAUCGAAUGAUAUGGCGUUUGAUACUGUUAUAACUUAACUGUAUUGAUUAAAUAUUAUUAUUUUAGAAACGUUAUGAAACAUACAAUACCUAAAGAUAGACUUGAUCUAGAACAGUUGGAAAACCACUGUUGGUCAUAUUCCAUACCGAGCUGCUAUUUGCCCAUAUGGUAAUAAUGGGCGUUCCGCAAUUCUUUUUCGGAGCUUCUAUUCAUAGCCGCAGUGAUUUCAAAGAAGAACGCAAAACAUGUGAUAUUUUUAAACUAAAAAAAUCCAGAAAAAAACAUCUAUAAAAGGCCGAGGUUUUCUCAUCGAAGGUAAGUGUUGCUUUUUUGACACAUAAGUAGUCUGUUGGACAAAAUUAGACGCAUUUAUAAUACUAUCACUAUAUUUAAAAUGGCGUUGUAUAACAGUGAUUUCAAUCCAGUUAAUCAUUGGAACAAUCGUCUAAUAGCAGCUCAAUUAGAAUCAACGGAACACCAUGUAAAUACCGGCUGCUGUUACGGAAAACUGAUUGUCCCUUUCCAAGUGAUCGGGAAACCAGGCACGGUGCUGUACAUCUUAUACAGAAUUUGUAUAUGUGAAAAAUAUAGCUCAAAGGAACUCAUCAAGGGAAAGAGGAUACUAAACGUUCUUGACAUACAGGAUGGAGUGGAAGUCCAUGUGACAAACGACUGUAACUACCAUACUCAGCGUUUGCCAGAAGGUGUUAUCCGACUACAGAAAAUCUGUUACUGCCCAAAGGAACCUGGAUUUAAGUAAUUCAGAUCUGUGAUCACUAUCAUCUGGACAGUUACAUGCAAGCAGCAAAAAAGUUCAAGGUUUCAUGUUUUCUAUCGACAGUUUUUACGCUGCCGGAGUGUGUUAUUUUCAUGUCAUUCAUUGAAUCAUUGCAUAUACUUUAAAAAUAUCAGAUAAAUAUUUGUCAAUAGUAUUCACACUUUAUCGCUUAUAGAACCUUUUGUAUAUAUCUUACAAAGAAAAAACUUUUUAACUAUGUUUGUAAACAUUAAUUCCUUGUUUCAUUGUUUUUUCCAUUUAUUUAUGUGUGAAACAAAUCGUUUAGAAACCAUUUAUCCCAUGAAUAACAGAGUGUAAACUACAUGGACUAGCCCUGAAUACUACGGACACCUGGACAACAAACUUUUACUAUUUUUUAUGAAAAUUUAUGACCUCUUGUAAACCUUUAUAAAUCGUGUGAUCAGUGAAUGUUCUAAUAUCUACGUUCAGAAUAAAUAUAUGUCCAUUUA